rnacentral:rRNA from 1 species
AUGGCCGAGUGGUCUAAGGCGCCAGACUCAAGUUCUGGUCCUCUAACGAGGGCGUGGGUUCAAACCCCACUUCUGACAUAUAUUUUUUCUUUUAACUUUCUAUAUCACAAUUUUUAG